rnacentral:rRNA from 1 species
UACAGAGGGUGCGAGCGUUAAUCGGAUUUACUGGGCGUAAAGCGUGCGUAGGCGGCUUCUUAAGUCGGAUGUGAAAUCCCUGAGCUUAACUUAGGAAUUGCAUUCGAUACUGGGAAGCUAGAGUAUGGGAGGGGAUGGUAGAAUUCCAGGUGUAGCGGUGAAAUGCGUAGAGAUCUGGAGGAAUACCGAUGGCGAAGGCAGCCAUCUGGCUUGUAACUGACGCUUAAGCACGAAAGCAUGGGUAGCGAACAGG